AUAAUAUUUCCAUCAGCUGUCAGUAAGCUACAGAUGUGGACACAUCCUGCUUGGAACCCUCCUGGGAGUCACCCUUGUUACUGAACCAGAUAAAUUGAGGAAGAAUGGAGAGGAAUGCCAACUACACUCACCACCACCUACUGUGUUCCGGACCAUCCACUGUGCAGACUCUUGAGUAAAAUUUAAUAAAAAUAUAUCCACGCCUAAAUACUAUUCACACACUUCUCCAUCAGGGGGCGUGGAGUUAGCAGGGAGAACCCUGGUCAGAAAAUAUGAAGACCAAGUUUCCUGCUCUAAAUUUAUCACUAAAUUGCUAUGUGACCUCAAGCAAAUCACUUUAUGGUAAUGGCAUUAAGUUUUUCUUAUUCGUGAAAAUAGUGGAGCUUGAUUUAAGACGUUUUCUACAGACCCUUGAGAUGAUUUUUGUUUGUCCACAUUUAUCUAUCUACAGAAACAAGAUGGACAUGAUUUUUCCUUAUUCCCUCCUGCCAACUUACUGGCCCACUUAUUCCUUACUGGCCUACCAGAAGCGAGUGAAAGAGGCUGCUUGCCAGGAGCGGCUGAGUGUCCCAGCCUUGCUUUGGGCCUGUACCGUCUCCAAGUCAAUGAGAAAGAAAUCCGACUGGUUUAGGACCCCCAACAUCACACCUGCAUAGGAUCUAGAGUAGAUCUGCUUAACUGAGCCCAGGGUAAGUUUCAGAGGUACAGCUUUCCUUCUUGUUCCUCAUCCCACGUUUUAUGUGUCUAAUUUGAUUGAAUGGGAUUCUUCUUAAGUGCCUACUAGGAUUUGAGUCCUGCCAUUAACCAGCCCCUUUGGUGAUGGACCAUAUCCCCACAUAGCUCUUGUUAGCCUUCACUCUUCUUCCCACUGGAGUUGGCCUCAGCUCCCAGAAGCCCCAGCUUUGUCCUGUGUCCGGGCUAUCCCUGAAUCCACAAUGGAGGCAUGAUUUUGACAGCAAGUUUUGCUAGUACCCAUUGACUCUUACACCAAGGUCCCCAUCAGAACAGAUUCCUUAACUACUGGUUCCAACCUGGAUCAUACAUGAAGCAAACCCCUCUCUAACAACAUACAUGCACACACACACACACACACAACUUUGGACUUUGGACACACACAACUUUUGGACUAAAUUUAAGAUAUUGUCUCCAGGACCGGCCCUGUGGUGCAGCAGUUAAGGUCACCCUUCCACUUUGGCAGCCCAGGGUUCGCCGGUUCGGAUCCCGGGUGCGGAUAUGGCACCACUCAUCAAGCC
rnacentral:lncRNA from 1 species